AGCUUAAAUUGGGAUUAUGUAAUCACCAAAGAUUUAUACCUCAUAUCCGUCUAGAUUAAAUACCGAUCUAAUACUUCUAUCAAUCGCAAAUAGAUGUAUAAAAGGCGGCGUUGAUGUCAUUGCGAUAUCUUUUGUGAAAAGUAUUCAUAAGCACAAAAACAGAAAAUAUGAAAUUCUUCAUUGUCCUGUCCGCCAUUUUGGCCUUAAGCGCUGGUUUCCCAGUCGAGAUGACCUUGCCACAGAUCGACCAGGCCCUUUCCAGCCCAACCACUCCAGCAUACCUUCUGGCAACUCUCGAACAAGCCUUGAACAAACUCAUGGAAUCCUUAUUCGCUGGAAAAGAUGCAAAGACAGUGACCGUUGAAUUGCCCCUGGCCCCCGUCAAUAUUCUGCCAGCUGCCGUUGACCAGGCCCCAGCUGAAGUACCAACCUUCUCCAGCCCACUUGUGCAAGUUAUCGUCAACGUGAACAAGGAAAGCCCAAAGGUGGCGGAAGUGCCAGCCCUGGAGCCCGAGACCGUCGCAGAGCCAGAAGACGUUAUCACAAAUCCAAUUGACGUCAUCUCUGUCAACCCUGCUGGUCUUUCUUAAAUUAUCUAUAAAUGUUACUGUAAAUAAAAUGGAAUAAUAUGAUAA